CGAAAGUAGCAAAAUCACACGAAAUGAAGCAACCCAAAAUUGCCCUGAGGGCGAAAUGACUCUCCUCCUUCUCCCGAUUAAAUCUUCUUUCAAUAUCAAUCAUCCUUUCAUUUCAACAUUCAAGCGCCACCGAUCCACUCGAUUCUACUUGUUUAUUCCUCUUUGGUAGACAACUAACGAUUCAUAGAUUACUGUCUAUUAGAGAUUUCAUCCGUCAACAACAUCAACUCUUCAAGGUUAUUGAAGACAAGGAAAACGUAAAAAGUUUGGACCGGAGGUAGUAGAUGAUAAACACCUUCAAAAUGAGAGACUAAAGAGAUAGUGAAAACCAAUCAAAAAGGAAAUGGACAAUAAGAAUAAGAAGAAAGUCUCUCCAAAGGAGAAGAAGAAAUCUGAAAAGAAUGAGAAGAAGAAAGUUUCCCCACAAAAGAAGACAACAAUACGAUCAUGGAUGGAUAGUGCUUCAGGCUUUAGCUUGAAAAUUUCUCAACUACAAUCUCAAUCUCAAUCUCAAUAUUGAUUGUUACAAUUUUGUAGAUUAUAGAACUAUUUGGCUUGUACUGGUUGACGAUCAACUACUUUUGAAAUUUAUAAAAUUAAUAGUAUCCUA